rnacentral:rRNA from 1 species
GCGGGAACCGUGAUAGCUACCCCGAGUGCCCGUAAUCGCGGGCUGUCCGGGUGUGUAAAAAGCACCCGAAGAAAGGGCCGGGCAAGACCGGUGCCAGCCGCCGCGGUAAUACCGGCGGCUCGAGUGGUGACCACUUUUAUUGGGCUUAAAGCGUCCGUAGCUGGAUUGUUAAGUCUCUUGGGAAAUCUCACGGCUUAACCGUGAGGCGUCUAAGAGAUACUGGCAAUCUUGGGACCGGAAGAGGUGAGAGGUACUCCGGGGGUAGGAGUGAAAUCCUGUAAUCCUCGGGGGACCACCUGUGGCGAAGGCGUCUCACCAGGACGGCUCCGACAGUGAGGGACGAAAGCUGGGGGAGCAAACCGGAUUAGAUACCCGGGUAGUCCCAGCCGUAAACGAUGCGCGUUAGGUGUAUCGGCGACCACGAGUCGCUGAGGUGCCGAAGGGAAACCGUGAAACGUGCCGCCUGGGAAGUACGGUCGCAAGGCUGAAACUUAAAGGAAUUGGUGGGGGAGCACCACAACGGGUGGAGCCUGCGGUUUAAUUGGAUUCCAACGCCGGAAAA